rnacentral:rRNA from 1 species
UACAUAGGGGGCAAGCGUUAUCCGGAUUUAUUGGGUGUAAAGGGUGCGUAGACGGAGAAACAAGUUGGUUGUGAAAUCCCUCGGCUCAACUGAGGAACUGCAACCAAAACUAUUUCCCUUGAGUGUCGGAGAGGAAAGUGGAAUUCCUAGUGUAGCGGUGAAAUGCGUAGAUAUUAGGAGGAACACCGGUGGCGAAGGCGACUUUCUGGACGAUAACUGACGUUGAGGCACGAAAGUGUGGGGAGCAAACAGG